CGGAAACAUGUCUAGCUUGCUAGAUGAUGUCGAGUGGCGGACGGGUGAGUAAUACUUAGGAACAUGCCUUUGGGUGGGGGAUAACUAUUGGAAACGAUAGCUAAUACCGCAUGACGUCUACGGACCAAAGGGGGCUUCGGCUCCCGCCCAGAGAGUGGCCUAAGCGAGAUUAGCUAGUUGGUGUGGUAAAGGCUCACCAAGGCGACGAUCUCUAGCUGUUCUGAGAGGAUGAUCAGCCACACUGGGACUGAGACACGGCCCAGACUCCUACGGGAGGCAGCAGUGGGGAAUAUUGCACAAUGGGCGCAAGCCUGAUGCAGCCAUGCCGCGUGUGUGAAGAAGGCCUUCGGGUUGUAAAGCACUUUCAGUAAGGAGGAAAGGGAUGUAGUUAAUAACUGCAUUCUGUGACGUUACUUACAGAAGAAGCACCGGCUAACUUCGUGCCAGCAGCCGCGGUAAUACGAGGGGUGCAAGCGUUAAUCGGAAUUACUGGGCGUAAAGCGUUCGUAGGCGGUUGAUUAAGCAAGAUGUGAAAGCCCAGGGCUCAACCUUGGAACUGCAUUUUGAACUGGUCAACUAGAGUACUGUAGAGGGUGGUGGAAUUUCCAGUGUA
rnacentral:rRNA from 1 species